rnacentral:tRNA from 1 species
GAGAUAUUAGUUAAACCAUAACAUUGCCUUGUCAAGGCAAAAUUACAGGUUAAACCCCUGUAUAUCUUA